rfam:Lactobacillus hominis DSM 23910 = CRBIP 24.179, type strain:CRBIP 24.179, WGS project CAKE01000000 data, contig: 34
AGUUUUGAGCAAUCGCGGUUAACUUUUGUUAGCUGAGGAAAGUCCACGCACGCACGAGCUGCGAUGCUCGUAGUUUUUGUACCCAGCCUAAUAAGCUGCGGGAUCCAUUUUGGAUCACGGCGGAAAAAGCGCUAAAUCUUCGGACAUGCGUUACUAUCCUGAAAAGUGCCACAGUGACGAAGCAGUCGAGGAAACUUGGCUGGUGGAACGAGGUAAACCCUGCAAGCGGGCAACCCAAAUUUGGUAGGGGCGUCUCCAUCUAAGGAAUUGAACUAAAGAUGGGAUCAUUUUUUAAUGAAGAUAGAUGGUUGCUGAAGGUAAAGGUUGACCAAGCUUUACUGGAACAGAACGUGGCUUAUAGAA